AAAAAUGUCUCAGGAAUUCCCAGUGAUCCGGAAGUUUUGACGUCCCACCUGUGAUCUUUAUUUUUUCACCUGCUUCAGGCUAACACCUCUGAAGGGUCGGACAGCUGCUACAAAGAUUCCCUGUUUUCUCAUUGACCCCCAGACACUCACAGAGUGAACACAACUGUUUACAACCACCGGCCCACAACAAAAACAUCUGCUCCUGAGUGUUUCUAGGAGAACCAGCAAUGAACUUUUUAUUGGGUGUUAUAUACACUGCAUACUUCUAGAGUUUCUACAGCAUUCAUUCCAUGCUAUCUGAAUCAUAAUCUGAUGAAGGCAUUUCUGUAAACAAUAGAUAGGAAUUAUUAUGAGUCAAUAAAGAUGUCAGCUGUUACAUCCAAUGCAGGCAAGGAUACAGAGCCAGGAGAUGUCUACCAGAGAAAGCCAUUAUGAUAAAACUACUGAAUGUGAAGGACAGAAUAAUGUGAAGGACAGAAUACUGCUCCUUGAGUGUGUCCUUCAGCCCAGUACACUGAGAAAUGGUCAAAACAGCACCAUCUUCACUGUGAAUAUAGCAUAUAUAAUGCUUUUGUCUGUAGAAUUUUUGAAGAAUUUCUCCUUCUAUCUAUUACACUUACCUAAGUACAGCCUAGGUCAAAAUACACGAUUGUUAAUGCUGUCAUCACGAGAUGAACAGAUUGAUCAUCAAGUAGAAAAUACCAAGGAGGCUAAAAACAGGCAGCAACUAUUGUAAAUCAACUUUAAUUUGUAAUGACUUUAUUAACUUCAUGAUUGCUCAGUAAAAACUAUUUAA
rnacentral:sRNA from 1 species